GAAGGGUACCCUCGAGGAGGACAUGGUGCUCAUUGAGUGCCUUGUAGCAGGCAGCAAGGACCACCUCCGUCACAUGAGCACAACGAUCAAUGUCAUGAGGUCCAUCAACAAGGAUCUCAGGCUCAACAAUGGGCACCAGACCGUUCUCCUGGCAGAUGAUGGCAUAACGAGCCAGACCCUGAGCAUUCAGGUCAAUGGAAAGCUGUGAUGGCUCAUUGGGGCCAAUCUUGAGGACUGCACGCCACUUGGCAAAGCGGGCACCAGCCUCGUAGUACUUGGCACAGCGCUUGCCAAGGUCAUCAUGGCCCUGGGUGGUGGUCUCCUUGUCAGUU
rnacentral:lncRNA from 1 species